UACGGAGGAUGCGAGCGUUAUCCGGAUUUAUUGGGUUUAAAGGGUGCGUAGGCGGAUCGUUAAGUCAGUGGUCAAAUUGAGGGGCUCAACCCCUUCCCGCCAUUGAAGCUGGCGAUCUUGAGUGGAAGAGAAGUAUGCGGAAUGCGUGGUGUAGCGGUGAAAUGCAUAGAUAUCACGCAGAACCCCGAUUGCGAAGGCAGCAUGCCGGCUUCCGACUGACGCUGAAGCACGAAAGCGUGGGGAUCGAACAGG
rnacentral:rRNA from 1 species